UGUCAGUCAGUCAGUUUCAGGGCUACAA
rnacentral:piRNA from 1 species